rnacentral:lncRNA from 1 species
CUUAUCUCACCUCGAGGCCGCCCUUUAUAAAGUCUGGAACUUUUUGUCUCGUGAAUAAAUGUCACUGUCAACUCUGAAUAUUGUCUCCUUCGAGUUUGCUGGUAGAGAGUAUCUUUGAUAGUUUCUACAGUUUAAUUAUAUUCGUCUUGUCUCUGCUUAUGGUGUACUGUUCAUUAAUUUAAGGGUUCUCUUUGUUUGGUAAUCAAGAGCUAGUUGUAGCUUUAGCUUGUAUUAAUUGUUUUGAGCUACAUAGGGCAUUAGCUUCUGAUGUACAAAAUAGAUUGUUGAUUUAGCUUGAAGUUUGAGUCUUUUUAUUAUUGUUAAUUGUCCUCUAGAAUCUGUUAAUAUGAAUGAGUUAUCAUUUACUUACAUCUAUUUUAUUGUCUUCUUCUAUACAUAGAAUGCUGCGGCAAAGGGAGCUUCCAGACAACAAGAUAUUGGCUAUGGCGAACUCCAGAAGAAGUUUGAGUUGUUUGUAAGUGGACUAAUGAACAUAAUUAAAACUAUGUGGUCAUCCUCUCUUGGUUUAGUUUUCUUCUUAUUUUCUAAAUUCUAAAUUCUCCAUGCUUAAUGUAGUUUUUGGUCUUCUUGUUUAUGCAGCAAGAGAAAGCUAAGGAGAUUGUUAAUGUGUUGAAAGCCGAGGUCGGAGGAAGUGGAAACCAUGCAGUGGUUCAAGCUAUACAGGCGCUGGAAGAGCUAACAGUUACCACAACGGAGGAGCCAACGCACAUGGAAGAAGUGCAGCCGGAUGAACAACACCCUGGAAAUGAACUAGAGCUUGAGGGACAUGGACAAGGGCAGCCGCAGACAGAAGCAGAAGCAAUGCAAGAAGCGCUGUUCUGAAGAGAGCAGCCUUGACAAAACUAAUAAAAGCUAGCAAGUGGUGGUGGUGAUGAUGAUGGUGGGCUUGCUUGUUGUGUUUUCCAUGAAUUUGUUAAUUUUAUAAGGGUGUUUGCAGGAGAAAAAUCUUUUUAAGUAAAACGAUGAUGAAUGGUGUCUCUAACGAAACAAGGAGAGGUACUGAGGUAGAGUAAUGUAUGUAAAGUAAUUAGGAUAUAUUGCCAUUGUUCAUGUACCUCUCUCUCUCUCGAUAUCAUCCUUGUCUGUAGGCUUUUGCUUUGUACCCUCAUGUUUCUCAGACAAUGGUCUUUUAUUUGGUUUUUAGAGCACCC